rnacentral:lncRNA from 1 species
GUUUCACUGUGGGAAGUGAUGUAAUUAUCCUGGGAUUAUGAGUAGCCCGCUCUUAGCAACAGGAGGAUUUUGAAGCUAUUGGCUGCCUAAUCAUUCUAAGUAUCCUUUGUUUAAAGCAACUGGUUUUAAAAGUUUUUGUUCUGUUAGAACCUGUAGGAUAUACCCUACUGGAUGGUGAGAUAAAUCAACUGUGUAAACUGUGCAGGACCAUUCAAAUCCCAAGAAGGGAGAACCCCACUGUUGCAGUGCUCUAGUUCUAAACAAAUAAAACAUCACUAGAGUAAAACAAGAGAAACAGCAGUGAACUAGUCCAAGAAUCCUUCCAGAUAAUUCUUUCCUUUUCUUUUUCCAGUAGCAAAAUCAUUGGCAACCACCAGGGAUUGAUGCAGAAUUAGCCUUAAAGUGCUGCACUGAAGAGCAAACAUUCUAGCAACCCCAAGCAUUAUUCUGUUAAGUCAUUCUACUGGACUUCAAACCUUGUGGGUGGGAUUUUCCCAAGUGAAAAAUAUGGCAAUGCCACAAGUCUGAGUCCCUACUAUUUCUUGGAAUUUUAGUAACAGCCAUAAAAUUUGCUGUUGGCACCUGAAUCUUUAGAAGCACUAAACAAAUUAAACAAUAAAACCUUAGUCCUGCAGGUCUUCUCCCCAUAUGAUACUUAUUAAUGUGGAUGUGGUGAAGAAUUUCAUGAGUGAAUUCCAGAAUUUUAUACAGAAAUGUCUAAAAUCAGGUUUCUAGAUACACAUUUAAGUACUCAUUUUCUAAUUUUGUUCAGCUUCUAAAAACUGCAUACACCAGAGCUUUUGAAAAAAUCAAACUGUAGGUUUUUUUUUUUUUCUGUAGGUGUUUAAUCUGAAUUGUGGCCUGCAGUAGGACCAUUUUUCUGCAGUUUUCUAAGUUGAUCCUAGUUCUUUGGAGCUAAAAUAUCACAGGACAGAUAGUUAAGAUGAUUUAAAUGAUGCACAUAUGGUUAAGAUGUCCUCUCUUCAGUUUUAUUUGGAAACUUGGCCUCAGACUGACAUGGGGCGUUCCCAUUGGAAGCACAAUAUCACCAUCCAUCUUAAUGAAGUAGUCCACCACUGAUUACAUGGCAAAGAUCUUUAUGAACUUGCCAACACUAAGCAAUUUUCAUAUGCAAAAAAGAUAAGGAAAAAAAUAAAUGUAGGAUAUCAGUAAAGUAUGAGAACAAGCUAUCAAAUUCACAGCCAUUUUAACAAGAGCUUUGCAACUUGUAGAGUGAUUGCAUGCAUACAUGAGACAUGCUAGCUUGUUUGCACAUACAGGAUGCAAUAUCCACAGUCAGAAAUAUUAUUUUCCAGCCCAAUAAUUCUUUGUUUAAAGUAGACAAUGAAAGAGCCGUGCAGUGUUGCUUGUUGCUGUCUUCUCUUGCGUUCAAGCAUAAUUUUAAGCCAGGGGAUAUGUUUAGGCAAGCCACAACUAUGUGUGAUAAUGGCAGUUGCAGAAUUGGACCUGAGAGAGAGAGAGAGAGAGACAGCCGAAUGCCUUGAAAAUAACAUAUCAUGGAGACAGAAAGGAGGUAUGAUCAUCAGGACAAGAAUUUCUGUAUGUAUGUAGAAUAUCCUGCACAGCAGGGAGUGUUCAGCUCAGCCACACUGUCAGCUACUGGGUAAGCUUGAAUUGCUAAAAAUGAUGAUAUAUCCAUUCUACUUUCAUUCUUUGUUGCCCAAUUUCAGGCAUUUCAAAAUAAUCCUACUUUUGAACAGCCUGUUUCCUUUACCCCAUCCCUCUCUGCCCUGG